rnacentral:rRNA from 1 species
UACGUAGGGGGCAAGCGUUAUCCGGAUUUACUGGGUGUAAAGGGAGCGUAGACGGCUGUGCAAGCCAGAUGUGAAAGCCCGGGGCUCAACCCCGGGACUGCAUUUGGAACUGUGUAGCUGGAGUGUCGGAGAGGCAGGCGGAAUUCCUAGUGUAGCGGUGAAAUGCGUAGAUAUUAGGAGGAACACCAGUGGCGAAGGCGGCUUACUGGACUGUAACUGACGUUGAGGCUCGAAAGCGUGGGGAGCAAACAGG